rnacentral:lncRNA from 1 species
AUUGUAAAGCAACAUUCAAGAAUCCUUGACAUAUGGUUACCGUAUAAUUCAUCCCUUUGACCCUCAGUACUUAGGAUGACUCAGAGUUAAACUAUCAACUUAUAAUUAGUAUAUUCAUAAUAUGUCUCAACCUCAUAAAUCUUGUGACUCCUCAUAAGGACUAUCUUUAUCAAGAUUUUUUUGAAUUGAAACACAAUAUAGUACUAACUCCUGAAAUCAAGAGCGAUCAAUCCCAUCUUGACUCAUACACUGACUUAACAAGUAGGUGACUAUACCC